AUUGAACGCUGGCGGAAUGCUUUACACAUGCAAGUCGAGCGGCAGCGCGGGGGCAACCCUGGCGGCGAGCGGCGAACGGGUGAGUAAUGCAUCGGAACGUACCUAGUCGUGGGGGAUAACGUGGCGAAAGUCACGCUAAUACCGCAUACGUCCUGAGGGAGAAAGCAGGGGAUCGCAAGACCUUGCGCGAUUGGAGCGGCCGAUGUCUGAUUAGCUAGUUGGUGGGGUAAAGGCCUACCAAGGCGACGAUCAGUAGCUGGUCUGAGAGGACGAUCAGCCACACUGGGACUGAGACACGGCCCAGACUCCUACGGGAGGCAGCAGUGGGGAAUUUUGGACAAUGGGCGAAAGCCUGAUCCAGCCAUUCCGCGUGAGUGAAGAAGGCCU
rnacentral:rRNA from 1 species